AUGCGGGUUCGAUUCCCGCUACCCGCUCCAUUCUGUAUAAAAGGAGUAUUCUCUUUGUCUAGACAUGUUAGAGGCUUGUAUUCAAGCUUUUUUGUCCACUAGUUUCUGGUACUCCAGAGCGGAGUAGAGCAGUUUGGUAGCUCACGAGGCUCAUAA
rnacentral:rRNA from 1 species